rnacentral:rRNA from 1 species
ACUCCUACGGGAGGCAGCAGUGGGGAAUAUUGGACAAUGGGCGAAAGCCUGAUCCAGCCAUGCCGCGUGUGUGAAGAAGGCUUUCGGGUUGUAAAGCACUUUCAGUGGGGAAGAAAUCCUCGGGGCCAAUACCCUCGAGGGAGGACAUCACCCACAGAAGAAGCACCGGCUAACUCCGUGCCAGCAGCCGCGGUAAU